ensembl:lncRNA
UGUGACUUUGAGGUCAGUUGUGACGGGCGCGCCAACGCGCAGGCGAGAGGAGCCACCCCACGUCCGAGGUCAGGGGCAGAAGCCGAGAGGACCCCAUGCUCGAAGGGCGGCGGCCGAGAGGAGUUACCCCACGUCUGAGGUCAGGGGCAGCGGCCGAGAGUACCAACUGCAACGGAGCAGGAACAGUGGAGAGGAGCUACCCCGCGUCGGAGGUCAGGGGCGGUGGCCGGGAGGAGAUACCCCACGCCCCAAGCCCAAGGCCAGGGGCGGCGGGCGGGCGGGAGGAGGAGCUACCCCACGCCCCUAAGCCCGAGACCAGGGACGGCGGCCAGGAAGAGCAACCGCACGCUCCCACACCCGAGGCCAGGGACGGCGGCCAGGAGGAGCAACCCCACGACCGAGGCCAGGGGCGGUGGCCAGGAGGACCAACCCCACGCCCAAGGAGCCGUGGAUGUGCGGGCGCAGGAGGGCCUAGAGGAGCUAUCCCACGUUGAAGGUCAGGAAGGGCUGCAGUGAGGAGAUACCCCUCGCCCAAGAAAGAAAGCAGAGAGACAACAGCAAUUGAGAGAUGUGGGAGCUGGAUGGAUAAGGGCUGGCUGCCUUAGCGAAAGGCCAGAGGAAGCUGAAAUAUAAUUCCUUAUCAAGGGAGUGGGGAGAAGGAGAGAGCAGUAUCAACAAGAAACAAGUCUACAUCUGCCUCAGAACCCAAGAACAGCUUAGGAAUGGGAGGUGCUGGAUACUUCUGAAGGUAGGUUGUCGGAUGGGCUAGAAGGGGAGGCCUGCGGGAAAGCAUAAGGAGCUAGACUCCUAAAUCUCCUCCUUCAACCUCUGCAGCCAGAUGACUGCCCUCUUCCAGCUUGUCAGGAGACUGAAUUGAGAGGCUAUGGAUAUGGGAACACUGGCACAGCUGAAAACAGGAGUGAUGGACUGUACUGUAAUCGGGGG